GAUUCCAACCUUUUCCCCAACCUACCGCGCUAGCUGAAGGCUCCGGCGGCGGCGGCUGGCCCUCUCCUGCCUCUCCCUCGGUCCCUCCCCUCCCCUCCAUCCGGCCAUCUCACUCCCCUGCCUCGGCCUCCGGCGCCCAGCCCUCUCCUCCGCGGCUCCGCCAGGCGCCAGGCCACCAGUCCGCCUCCGGCCUCCCAAGCGCGGCGGCAGCCGGCAGCCGGCAGCGCCCUCCAGGCUCCAGCCACCGUCCUCGCGCCUCCCCGGCGCGGCGGCAGCACCAUCCAGCAGUCCGGCCUCCGUUCCUCAACAGCCACAAUACCCUGACGCCGGUUGGCCCCGGCACAACGCCGCUCCCCGCCAACGCCCCUCUCCCUCAGCUGCUGACCUCGGCAACGAGCUCACCCACACGCCUAUGCUGCCAGAAGAUUGCCCGCAUAGUUUAAAAUAUUCAUAUGAACCUAUGCUUAAUGUAAAAGAGCAUAUGGAAAAUUAUAAACUGAUCUAUUUUGUUUUCAUUACUACAGCUAGCAAAGGCUAAUGGAUCGAGGUUGGAUGAGUAAACCAAGAUCAACUACUGAUUAUAAAGAAGGUGUCGAGCAAUUUCUAUCUUUUGCCUUCCAUGAUGUUCCACUCGGUGAUAAAAUUCUCUGUCCCUGUGUAAAUUGUGGAAAUAAGGCAACGCAGAAUUACGACGAAGUGAAAACCCACCUAAGAUGUGAUGGUAUUCUUCAGGGUUAUACAAAAUGGGUUUGCCAUGGAGAAGAGUAUGAUUCACCGUCAUUUGCAUUUGCUCCCAUGUCAAAUAACAACAACGAUUUUCAUAUUCCGGGUUUUCCAGUGAAUUCUGAUGUAGAAGGCAGUAAUAGAAGAUUGCAUGACAUUUCUGGGCUCUUAAGUGCCAUUUUCCCCAUGGCUGACAGCUUCCAAUCACUAUCAAGCGCAUCUGAUGGGGAACUAGAUGGUGUUCAGUCUGAAUUUGAGAACUUGGAACCUGGUAUGGCUGAGAAUGUCAAUACAACAUCUGCAGAUGAUGAUGCAAUGAGAGAACAAGACAUAUACGCUAGUUUCCUCGAGGAAGCAAACACAGAUUUAUACCCUGGAUGUGCAACAUAUUCGAGGUUGUCAUUUCUUGUCACUUUAUAUCACAUGAAAGUCUUGCAUGGAUGGUCACAGGAAUCAUUCACACAGCUACUUGGUGUAUUAUAUCACAUAACGAAGCUGAAGAAUAUGCUCCAUUGAGUGCUAUGCAGUUGCAGGAACUAUAUCCUAGCGAUUGUGCACGAACCAAAGAGUGUUACACCGGUUUAUCGUUACCACAAGAAAAAAUGGUUGCUAAGAAAGCACACAUUGAAAAGUUUCAUAGGGCUAAUCAAGGAAGUGGAGAAUCAACUUUGCCAGACAAGCAGAUCACUACCCAGGAAUUGCAUCCUAGUUUUUCUGUGAGAACCAAAGAGGGUUACACUGGUUUAUCUUUACCACACAUGGUUACUAAGAAGGCACACAUUGAAAUGUUUGAUAAGGACAAUCAAGGCUGCACAGAAUCAACCAAAGACGGUUACACCAAUGAAGGAAGUGCAGAAUUAACUUUACUGGAUAAGUAGAUUACUGCCCAGGAAUUGCACCCUAGCUUUUCUUCCAGAACCAAAGAGGAUUGCACUGGUUCAUCUUUACCACACAUGGUUUCUAAGAAAGCGCACACUAAAAAAAAUGAUAGGAUAAAUCAAGGGUGUGCAGAAUCAACUUUACCGAACAAGACUAACCAGGAAUUGCAUCCUAGCAAUUGCGCAAGAACCAAAGAGGGUUGCACCAGUUUAUCUUCACCGCAUGAGCACACAGUUGCUAAGAAAGCACAUGAUGGUCCUGAAGCAAAGAAUGGUCAUGCUGAAAAUAACAAUGAGACCAAGCAAGGUGGUCCUGAAUCAAGUGUACAACUUCAUCGUAUCACUAAGCAGGUAUAUCUAUACCUACUAUUAAAGGGAGGUGAUAUUCUUGGUUUGGUUUAGUCCGUCGCUUUGAUUUUCGUCCCUGGUUAUUUACGUCAAAUUCCGUUUGUCGUUUGUUAUCCUGCCUCUUUACUCGCCCAGUUUAAACCGACUCAAGCCAACCAGGCAAGCAACGAGGCAACGAUCGGGCAGCCCAUCUAGCGGCAGCAGCCUAGAUUAUUUUUUUCCUGAGCCGAUUGUGAUUGGAGGCAACUAGGCCUUUUUUUAGCGGUAGCAGCCCAGCCGAUUGUGAUUGGAGGCAACCAGGCCUUUUUUAGCGGUAGCAGCCCUGCUGAUGGAUUGAAGGCAGCUCGGUUUUAGCUAAAUUCGCUGUCUGAGAAAACAUCAAUAAUCCCACCUUGCUUUCUUACAUCGAGUCGUGUCAGUUGAUAUACGUCAUAUCAGAUACUGGUUAGACCAUAUGGACAAUUACAAACAGUAAGGGAUGCUAUUGGUCAUGUUAUUGCAUGGCCUCUAUCACAUGUAAGUACACUUUCAUGCAAUCAUCCUAUGUUCCAAUGUGCGUGCUUAAGGCUUUUUAUUUAUGAAGGAUUUUUGCGAUUUUUAGGUUAAAAAACCAAAAUUAACCACUCUUGCACAACCUCAAAACAAGCCACCAAACACUGGGUAGCUCAAGAUUUAGAAAAGGAGUGCAUUGCAGGAGCCAGGAGCAACUAUAGAAGAAUUAGUCUUUAGAUGGACAAGUAUUAUGUAUUAUAUAAAGAUUUUAGAUUUGUAGGAAAACUUAGUUCUAGUUUCUAUGAUCUCUUCUUAAUUAUUUGCAUAUUUUUUAUGAAGAUUUGAUUUGAUUCAGUUGUGAACCAAAAGUGUUUGUUCCUACUAAUUGAAAUUGUGCGAAUGGGAUUGUUGUGGAUACAAUUGGUGAUAUGGGUGGAUCCCUUCAUAUAAUGAUAUUUGUUGUUCAUGAA